AUUUAUGGAUUUUUUUGUUGUUCACUCUAAGUAAAUAAAUGCACUGACUGAGAUAAAACCCAAAUUAGUAUUUUAAUCAAUGCCUCAACAGGUAUCCAGACUCAUCUGCUCACAGUCCACUGAAGCCAAAGGAACGAACCAUGUAUGUGCCAUUUCAGUGCGUUACAAAGCACAAACCAUUAUUUCAGUUUCAGCAAAAAAUCUUUUGAGUGUUCUCUGCAGAAGGAAAGACGCUUUCUUAUGAUGCUUCCAUUGUUUCCUGUGAUGUUUCUGCGCCAAUUUCUUGUAACAACCAUCCAUAAAAAUGCAAACUAUUAAGCCUUGUAUAAGCUCUGCAUCUCUCAAUUUUGUGUCAAUGACAAUUACUCUGGAAGCAACAUUUUGGGAAAGGUAAAUGUACAGAAGUAGUUUUAAUGGAUAUGAUUAACUAACUUAAGCAGGUAAAAAUAAUAUUUGGAGCAGUUUGGGGUACCUGUUUAUAACAGUGACAAGGCUCUGGCCUGGCAAGGUCCACAGUCCUUACUAGUAAGCCCAUUCAUUCUAGUUGGAGAGUGGGAAACCUUUCAAACUGGUUUUGAAAUGUUUUGAUAACACCUGUGCCAACUGGCUGGCUAAAUCGUAUCAGAAACAGGUGCAGUUAAACUGAAGUUCAACAUGAUUUUAAAUAUAUUCCUCAGAAUGAAUCAAGGCUCAGCAAGGUCAGGGCUUUACAGUAGGCACAGGUAUAUUAACAUGUGAACAGGAACUCUGUGCUCCUCCUGUGUGUUUAAUAAGUGCAGACAGCAUGCAGCCAGGGAUCAGAGAAGGUGUGCAGCCAACAAAGAUUUCUUUAUGCCACUGACUGACCACCUGCUAUUUUCAAACAGCUGAGGACUGCCUGACCUGCAGCUUUCAGCCUGGAGAUCCCGUACCUUAGAUCUUGACCAUUAUCAUCUGAUGAUACAUCAUCUAUGUGGAUCUGGUCACAAUCCUGAGGAGCAUAUGAAAAAAAAAUACAUCAGCCAGCCUGUGAUGCAUGACCUGCCUCCAGGUGGGAUGAAAACCUUGAAAGUGGGCUAAUGCAGCUUUGAAAUUGUACUACAGGCUUGGAGAAAGCCUCUGCUGCCUCCUUGUGAAAUACAAGCUGUUCCUCGGGAUGCAAGCAGAAACUCGGGUAUCACUUAUGAAUAUUCUCAAGGAAAAUCACUGUAUUUCUAUGUGAGCCUUUGAUAGCCCUAUGAAAAAUGAAGAACUCCUGGAAAGCUUGGUGCAAACACAUCGUGGCUGCUGCCUUUAAGUGCCUUGCUUUGUCCUAACGUACUCUCAUGGCUGAUGGGAACAUCUCAGACACUGGUAAGUGCUUUUGAUAAAUCCUUUCUGGCUCCACUCCCUGACCCCACUUCAUCCCCACACUGGUUGCUACAGAAAUGAGCAAGAGCUCACAGGCACUGUGGUGGCAGGCUCCUCAUCUCUGCAAGUCUGUCACAUCCCUCGGUCCAUCAUCAUCUACCCGGUGCAGCAGAAUCCAACCCCACAUCCUCUAAGCUAGAGCAGGAGGUAGUUGAUGAAGAGAACUGCUUCAGAGGUUUUAUGUUAGGACUAAACAUACUCCUACAGUUAAGGGAAUUCUCCACAUGCUAUUUGCAGCCCUUACUCAAUCCUAAGUAUGACCACAUAGCAGGUCUACUCCACAUAAGUUUAUAUUUCCCAAUCCUGCCUAAUUCUUUCUAUUUUUUGCAGGCAGCAGGUUUGAGCUUGCACAUGUAUACCUCAGACAGCCUCAUUCAUUAUGUUCCCUGGGAAAAGUAACCGCUUCAAUUACCUUGUACAACAUGGGCCUGAAUAAAUCCCUGCUUGGAAACACAUACUUGGUUUUCAGAGGGUGCUGCUAGAAGUGUUAGCAGCAUUCCAAGUGCUGCAGUAGACUUCCACACCACAAACACCAUUUUAUAUCCUUUACAACUGUGCACAUCUAACAGCGAACAAUAAAUCUAUCUUACUAAUUACACAUUCAGCUUGUUAUAACUGUCGUAAAACAAGUACAGCUGGUAAAGCCAUGAAAUGAUGUCAAAUCAUACUUCUGCUUUCUAGAGAGAAGCAGGGUUAUUUUCCAGUCUCCUGAUGAAGCUGACUGUUCAAAGCCAUGUGUGGAAACAGCUGCCAACUAGGUCAUCCACCUUUAAUUAGGUAAUGAUAUUGUCUUUUUUCCUGCCCAUUUAAAAGUGUUUGACAUUCCAUAAUUCCAAGUGACUUAAGUGUUUAUCAUAAAAAGCUGCCUUAGGAAGAAAUGGAAGCACAUGGUACUACAUUCAAGACUGAGCAUUUUCUUCUUAGUAGCCAAAUUCAGUCUGUUCAUACACAGAGAACGUUGCCUAAAAAAAUGUAAUUGCCAGUGUUUCAAAGGGGGCAUCUAAAGUUUGGAUAGUUAAAGAUAAUGGUUCCUAAAACCUUUUAAAAUUGUGUGCUUCAGCAGCCACGUAGGAAGAAGAGCCCGUAUUCUUCAUGACAAUCCAGACUGACUAACACAAGAUCAUUCUUCAAAAACAGUUGUCUGAGAUUCAAAAGAAAACACCAGCCUAACAAAAAACGCUACCUCAUUCAGGCCAGUUGCAGCCCUAUGCCUGCUGGAUAGGCUCUUUCUUGCAGAAGAAAGACAUUCAAAGCACAUCCUGAUGUCCUAUCUAGCUGUAGCCAAACAACACAAGCUUUUGAAAAACAAGGAGCUACUUGCAACAUGAAAGGGAGGUAAAUUAAAUAUUCUCGUUAGAAGGAAAUAAUACCACAGGACAUAUUUAUACAAAUGUGUCUGAAUAAAAUCAGCAGCAUCUGUUUGAAAAUGUCUAUUAACUGCCACCACAGUUCCUGAUGCAAUUUGGCUAGACAAGAAGUAAUGUUAAAAAAAUUAGG